UACGUAGGGGGCUAGCGUUGUCCGGAAUCGAUUGGCGUAAAGCGCGUGUAGGCGGCCCGGUAAGUCCGCUGUGAAAGUCGGGGGCUCAACCCUCGGAUGCCGGUGGAUACUGUCGGGCUCGAGUACGGAAGAGGCGAGUGGAAUCCUGGUGUAGCGGUGAAAUGCGCAGAUAUCAGGAAGAACACCGGUGGCGAAGGCGGCUCGCUGGGCCAGAUCCGACACUCAUCCGCGAAGCGUGGGGAGCAAACAGG
rnacentral:rRNA from 1 species